rnacentral:lncRNA from 1 species
GCCUUCAUUCUGACUGCCCUGGAGGCAAAGCCAGCCAAUGCCCUUCUCCUGCUUUCCCGGGUCACCACCUGGGCUCUCCUGAAGGGAUUCUGCUGAUAAUCAAGGUGAGGUGGGGUGUGGAAUGGUGCUCAGAGGGCCAGGGUCCAGGGAGAAGAGGCUGAAUGAGGAGCAGAGGAAGGGGCUCGGGAAGGCAGUCACAGAACCCGAUAGCAGAGGGGAUGGAAAACAAUGAACCUUUAUUGAGAGUCCGCCCCCACUCACAGGUUCUGGCCAAGGGAGGCCCAGAGGGGAAAUCAAGCAGCCCCACCCACAGGGCUGCCCACAGAUGCAGGUGAUUCACAGUUUAGGCUGGGCUGAUAACAGCCCCCGCCAGCUGAGAAUGGGGCCUUUGUGCAGUGCCGUCCUCGGGCCCCCUCGCAGCUGGGCCGGCUGCAGCAAGCCUGGGAGGAGGGCUGGAUGGCAGGCGGCGGCGGGGCUGGAUGGGAAAAUGCGGAGAAACCCAGCAGCCUCCGCGGUGAAGGGAACUUUGAGGUGCCACAGGGCACAUGUGCAGGGGAGAGAGACGGCGUGGUUGGAGCACUUUCCUUCCAGAUUUUCCAUCUCAGCUGUGUCCCCCAGCCAUUCACUCAUUUCCCCAGGGAUAAAAAAAAAAAAAAAAAAAAAAAAAAAAAAAACGCGGCUUGCAGUACUAAGGGUUGCGAAUGGCUCAAACUUGACUUGAAUCAGCUUGGUGAGAGGGGGAUGUUGACUAUUGGCUCAAGCAGGGCAAAGACAGAGCAGGCCCUGAAGAGGCCAGAAUGAGGCCUACUCACCCACCAGACUAUCACCUCCUGUCUCUUCUCUCUCUGUCUCUCAGAGGUGAGCAACACCCUUUCUUCCGCAAAUGGGCUUUGUGCACCCUCCUUCCCCUGCAGGAAUAAUGCCUGUGGUCGGUUCAGCAUUACAUCCUCACAGUCUCAUGACCAGAAAGGAAAUUGUACUGUCUGCUACCAGGCUUGCUUAGAAAAAGUCCUGAGGGGAGUUUGAGACCGUCCUGGGCAACAUAGUGAGACCCCGUCUCUAUGAAUUUUUUUUUUUUUUAAGUUAGCCGGAUGUGGUCGUGCGUGCCUGUAGUCCCAUCUACUCCAGAGGCUGAGGUGGGAGGAUUGCUUGAGCCCAGUUCAAGGUUGCAGUGAGCCAUGAUCAUGCCACUGCACUCCAGCCUGGGCAACAGAGCAAGACCCUGUCUCAACUUUUUUUUUUUUUUUUUUUGAGAUGGAGUGUUGCUCUGUCGUCCAGGCUGGAGUGCAGUGGUGCAAUCUCAAUCUCGGCUCACUGCAACCCCUGGCUCCCACGUUCCAGCGAUUCUCCCACCUCAGCCUCCCGAGUAGCUGGGAUUAUAGGUGCACCACCACACCCGGCUAAUUUUUGUAUUUUUUGUGGAGAUGGGGUUUUGCCACGUUGGCCAGACUGGUCUCAAACUCCUGACCUCAGG